AGUUCAAAUAGAGUCAUAUGGAAAGUGCCAAAAACACCUACAACAUGCUCAUCAAGCAUUUGCUUGGAAUAAACUCAAAGUUGCCUGGUUAGAUUGAAUAAUCAUCUCAGGAAGAUCAUAUGCACUACCUCCACCAGAAGUUAGGGGAAGG